UACGUAGGUGGCAAGCGUUGUCCGGAAUUAUUGGGCGUAAAGAGCUCGUAGGCGGUUUGUUGCGUCUGCUGUGAAAUCCCGAGGCUCAACCUCGGGUCUGCAGUCGAUACGAGCAAACUAGAGUGUUGCAGGGGAGACUGGAAUUCCUGGUGUAGCGGUGAAAUGCGCAGAUAUCAGGAGGAACACCGGUGGCGAAGGCGGGUCUCUGGGCAGCAACUGACGCUGAGGAGCGAAAGCGUGGGGAGCGAACAGG
rnacentral:rRNA from 1 species